UACGAAGGGGGCGAGCGUUGUUCGGAAUUACUGGGCGUAAAGGGCGCGUAGGCGGCGACUCAAGUUAGAUGUGAAAGUCCUGGGCUUAACCUGGGGACUGCAUUUGAUACUGGGUUGCUUGAAUUCGGGAGAGGAUAGCGGAAUUCCCAGUGUAGAGGUGAAAUUCGUAGAUAUUGGGAAGAACACCGGUGGCGAAGGCGGCUAGCUGGACCGACAUUGACGCUGAGGCGCGAAAGCGUGGGGAGCGAACAGG
rnacentral:rRNA from 1 species